rnacentral:rRNA from 1 species
CUCUAAUAAAUAUAUAAUUAUUAGUAAAAUCUGCUCAAUGAAUAUUAAAUAGCCGCAACUUUAGUUGUGCUAAGGUAGCAUAAUCAUUUGUCUUUUAAUUAAAGACUAGAACGAACGAUUUAACAUUUUUAUUUCUAUCUUCAAUAAAAAUAAUAAAAUUAUUCUAAAUAUUAAAAAAUAUUUAUAUAUAAAAAAGACGAUAAGACCCUAUUGAACUUAACUUUAGUUUGGCUGGGGAAGCCAAUUAAAUAAUAUUUUAAUAUUAUAUAUAUAUGUAUAUAUUAUAAAUGAUCCAAACAAUUUGAUUAAAUAAUCAAGUUACCAUAGGGAUAACAGCGUAAUAAUUUUCUAAAGAUCUUAUUUAAAAAAUAGAUUGCGACCUCGAUGUUGAAUAAUUUACCUAAUAAAAGCAAAAUUUCAAAUAAGGAAGUCUGUUCGACUUUUAAUUAAUUACA